UUGACGGGGACCCGCACAAGCGGUGGAUGAUGUGGUUUAAUUCGAUGCAACGCGAAAACCUUACCCACCUUUGACAUGGCAGGAAUCCCGAAGAGAUUUGGGAGUGCUCGAAAGAGAACCUGCACACAGGUGCUGCGUGGCUGUCGUCAGCUCGUGUCGUGAGAUGUUGGGUUAAGUCCCGCAACGAGCGCAACCCUUAUCAUUAGUUGCUACGCAAGGGCACUCUAAUGAGACUGCCGGUGACAAACCGGAGGAAGUGGGGAUGACGUCAAGUCCUCAUGGCCCUUAUGGGUAGGGCUUCACACGUCAUACAAUGGUCGGUACAGAGGGUUGCCAAGCCGCGAGGUGGAGCCAAUCCCAGAAAGCCGAUCGUAGUCCGGAUUGUUCUCUGCAACUCGAGAGCAUGAAGUCGGAAUCGCUAGUAAUCGCGGAUCAGCAUGUCCGCGGUCGAAUACGUUCCCGGGCCUU
rnacentral:rRNA from 1 species